UGUUAGAUGAGUGCUUUAUAAAUAACCUCUUGCGAAUAAUUGAAUCUGAUGGAGUAAGUAAUGCGCGGAGGGUGAGAUUUGCAGAACUACCAUGAACCACACGACCAAGGGUGCCUGAUCCUGCUGCAGGACGAGGGUGAGGGGGCGCCCUCCUUCUCCAUGCCGUACGUGAGCUCCUCGGCUCCGUCCAGGACGUCUCCUUGGACUUGCUUGCCGGGAACAAGGCCGCCACGAAGCCGGGUCCAAAUAUGUUUUGGGUGGCGUCAUGCAAAAGGUCAGACUCGCUGCGGUAGCAGAUGUUUAGAACCUCGUCAACAUCGGCGUUCAAAGCAGGAAGCUCUUCUGUGGCUGCUCACACCACCCGUCCCGCUAGUUCUAAGCCCUGGAUGACUAGGACUUCCUCCAGCAGUCCGGUAUCACCAUCAAGUACGGCGGAGUAGAUGUAAUGUCCACCCCUGGUGCUUUGCUAUUUUAGGAAUUGCCGAAUCUUCAUGCAGUCAAGAAGAAUCUGGAACCAAAAAAUUUAUGCAUGAUUAUGCAGCACAUCCAUGAAGAUGUUUCUAGAAACAGUUCUUGAUUUGGAUGAAAGGGUUGAGUGCAACUCCAAGAUUGUAGCUGCUCCUUCACUUCACUGAAGUAUGAGUGCUUUCUUCCAAUUGUUGACCAAAGAAAUGGGAUCUACUUGUAGGCAUGCCAUGGAUUCAAAGGAAAAAAGGAGAAGAAAACGAGCAUUAUGGUUACUAUGUGCAUGGAUUUCAUGGCGAGGUGUGCACUUGAGGUCAGCCUGGCGUGAACUCGUGUAUACAUGUGCGAUCGAUCGGAGAUUGGAGUGCAUCCCGAGAACUUGUCUUGGUUUGAGCAAAAAUUUGAUGACACAGUUGAUAGCUGAAGAUGAAGCUUGCCAGAGGUCUGGAGGAUGAGAAUGAUGAUGCCGAGUUUCGAUGAAGGCGACUUGGAUGUUGGAUUGCUGGAGAUGAUAUGAGCGAGCGAGGACGUGCAUUUUGAUGCAGAGGAGCUAGUCUAGGGUGUGUUGGUACCCUGUGUCUGUGUGUAUGCAAAUCCUGCAAGAGCACGUCAUAAAUCAUAAGAGGCAUAAUAUAUGUUGUAUGUAUAGCUGGUAGGUAUUUAUUUUUCUUGGAAAUUUUCAUUUGCCGAUGCUACAAAAUAAUCGAGGCAAUUCUAUAUAAUGUAUCUUGGAAAGCUUG